GACGAACGCUGGCGGCGUGCUUAACACAUGCAAGUCGAGCGGUAAGGCUCCUUCGGGAGUACACGAGCGGCGAACGGGUGAGUAACACGUGAGCAAUCUGCCCAUCACAUCGGGAUAACUCCGGGAAACCGAAGCUAAUACCGAAUACAACCACUUCAGACAUCUGACGGUGGUGGAAAGUUCCGGCGGUGAUGGAUGAGCUCGCGGCCUAUCAGCUUGUUGGUGGGGUAACGGCCCACCAAGGCUUCGACGGGUAGCCGGCCUGAGGGGGUGACCGGCCACACUGGGACUGAGACACGGCCCAGACUCCUACGGGAGGCAGCAGUGGGGAAUAUUGGACAAUGGGCGAAAGCCUGAUCCAGCAACGCCGCGUGAGGGAUGACGGCCUUCGGGUUGUAAACCUCUUUCAGCAGGGACGAAGCGCAAGUGACGGUACCUGCAGAAGAAGCACCGGCCAACUACGUGCCAGCCGCCGCUGUAACAC
rnacentral:rRNA from 1 species